UAAAAGAUGGACUAAAACAUUUCAGGAUCUCUCAUAAAGAGUCAUGCUGCAGUGUGUAAUGUGGCGGCCGUCCAGCAGAGAGCAGCGCAAAGCCGUUCAGUCUUUCCUUUCCUCUUACUGGUUGCUAGGUUACGCAGUUACCAGUGGGUACUAGUGACGCUCCUUGAAUAUUACCGUUUGGUCAAAUUUAAUUUAAACAUUCACCCAUUUUCCCACUUUUUCAAUGCAAACUAUCACAAUAAGGCAACGGGUUCCUACCACGUCACAUGGUAAUAUAUAGUUAGACAAGGGGAAAUUUAAAGAUAGCAGUCAAAGUCUACGUUUUAACAGUGGUACAAAACGAAAUACCAAAGCAAGGAAAACAUUAAGUUUCAUCCAAGGGCGGGAAUCGAGCUCAACCCCGCAAGGAUUCUCCCUCUUUACAAAAUACGGCAGUGUUGGAGUGCAAGCUGGAAGGGGCCGGAACGGACCUGACUCACCCCCCUGCGCCACAACAGCCGUCGCGGACGUCACACUACUCAUGAGACCCCUUCUUUUGAGAGGUGAUCAACUUACCGAGUAUUUAACACCGAAAACUGAUCCUCCAAGACACGAAACAAUCCAGGGCUGACUAAUGACUACGUUUCAUACUUCCCCCGAGACUCAGUUCUUGCCUCCACAAAGUAAGUAAGUAAUCGAUUAUACUGUAAGAGAGGCUGCUUUUCUUACAACCGCGUUAUAGCAAUUCGCACAG